CAGCCGCCGCGGGAAUACAGAGGGUGCGAGCGUUAAUCGGAUUUACUGGGCGUAAAGCGUGCGUAGGCGGCUUCUUAAGUCGGAUGUGAAAUCCCUGAGCUUAACUUAGGAAUUGCAUUCGAUACUGGGAAGCUAGAGUAUGGGAGAGGAUGGUAGAAUUCCAGGUGUAGCGGUGAAAUGCGUAGAGAUCUGGAGGAAUACCGAUGGCGAAGGCAGCCAUCUGGCCUAAUACUGACGCUGAGGUACGAAAGCAUGGGGAGCAAACAGGAUUAGAUACCCCUGUAGUCCCUGUCUCUUAUAC
rnacentral:rRNA from 1 species